rnacentral:rRNA from 1 species
GAUGAACGCUGGCGGCGUGCCUAAUACAUGCAAGUCGAGCGAACAGACGAGGAGCUUGCUCCUCUGACGUUAGCGGCGGACGGGUGAGUAACACGUGGAUAACCUACCUAUAAGACUGGGAUAACUUCGGGAAACCGGAGCUAAUACCGGAUAAUAUAUUGAACCGCAUGGUUCAAUAGUGAAAGACGGUUUUGCUGUCACUUAUAGAUGGAUCCGCGCCGCAUUAGCUAGUUGGUAAGGUAACGGCUUACCAAGGCAACGAUGCGUAGCCGACCUGAGAGGGUGAUCGGCCACACUGGAACUGAGACACGGUCCAGACUCCUACGGGAGGCAGCAGUAGGGAAUCUUCCGCAAAGGGCGAAAGCCUGACGGAGCAACGCCGCGUGAGUGAUGAAGGUCUUCGGAUCGUAAAACUCUGUUAUUAGGGAAGAACAAAUGUGUAAGUAACUAUGCACGACUUGACGGUACCUAAUCAGAAAGCCACGGCUAACUACGUG